UUGCGUAGGUGGCAGAGUAAGUGAAUAGUGAAAGCGUGCGGCUCAACCGCAUAUACAUUAUUUAAACUGCUCAGCUUGAAGAUGAGAGAGGUCACUGGAAUUCCAAGUGUAGGAGUGAAAUCCGUAGAUAUUUGGAGGAACACCGAUGGCGUAGGCAGGUGACUGGCUCAUUCUUGACACUAAGGCACGAAAGCGUGGGGAGCAAACA
rnacentral:rRNA from 1 species